CCUACGGGACGCAGCAGUAGGGAAUUUUUCACAAUGGGCGAAAGCCUGAUGGAGCAAUGCCGCGUGAAUGAUGAAGGUCUUAUAGAUUGUAAAAUUCUUUUAUUUGGGAAGAAAAACUAAAGUAGGAAAUGACUUUAGUCUGACUGUACCAUUUGAAUAAGUAUCGGCUAACUAUGUGCCAGCAGCCGCGGUAAUACAUAGGAUGCAAGCGUUAUCCGGAUUUACUGGGCGUAAAACGAGCGCAGGCGGGUUAACAAGUUUGGUAUGAAAGGCUUUUGCUUAACGAAAGUUUGUAUCAAAAACUG
rnacentral:rRNA from 1 species